UGAACACCCAAGGGCUUGGACGAGUGUCCAAAGAACCUCAUCUCUACAAGACUGCACUGUGGGUAAAAACUACUUCAGCAAGGACUCAUCGGUGACGUCACGUAACCCUCGUUCACCUCAGAGCGUGCGCGUCGUACCCGCGGCUGGAUGUGUCUGUGGUCUAGUGCGCGUGUGUGCCCCGGCGGCGUAACGUGUGUGCCCUGCGGUGAUGGUGCGCUGUGUGCCGUGAUCGGGGCAUCGCGAGAGGGCAUCCGCCCCGUCACUACAUUGAAGGACGUGGGAAAAUUAAUUGCCAGCCGAUCGUCCGUCCCAGAGGAGUGGUAAGGUGGAUGGUGUAAAUGAGAGGUGACUACUAGGGUGACGCACGUGACGGAAAGCUGGCCAUGUCCCCCUCCACGACCUGCCUUGAUGAGUCCACCCGCUUGGCCCCGCGCUGUUCUCCUCUUUUAUUGCGAGGGGGAGAGAUGGAUGCUGGGCUCUUGUUCAUGAUAAGUGAAUAACCCAAAGCAGGAAUGAAAAGGAAAGAAGGGGAACAACAAAAAAAAAAAGGAAGCUUGUCGUGUUCUCUCCAUGACCUGCCUUGUUGAGUCCACCCGCUUGGUCCCGCGCUGUUCUCCUCUUUUAUUGCGAGGGGGAGAGAUGGAUGCUGGGCUCUUGUUCAUGAUGAGUAAAUAACCCAAAGCAGAAAUGAAAAGGAAAGGAGGGGACGAAAAAAAGGAAGCUUACCCUGUCCCUUACCUUACACUUUUUCCUUAUAUUAGACGUGGAUAAAUGGAUCUCUCGUUCGCAAUGUAGAGCUAAAAUUUAAAAGAGAAGAAAGAAUACAAAA